GCUCAGUUGGGGAAAGACUGCAGAGGAGACAGGUCUCUCUGGUAAAGCUAAGCCCAAGAAUAGGGUUUAACAGACAGGAGACAAUGAAGAAGAACUCUACAGGAGCAGGUUACCUUCCUGCAAGGGAAGCUCUAAGGAACAGACAACAAGGGAAACACAAGAUACAGUGAAGGAGAGAGCCACCUCUUUGUCAUCACAUCACAGAUGGUUCCACAGCUAGACUAUGUCUCUCUCAGUGUUCUGCAGCCAAGAACUCCUAGGAUGACUCAGCAAGAUGGGAGAGAGAGUCUGGCAGGAAGACUGGCCCAUAGAGAUGAAAUAAAGCAUGAAGCCCUGAAUUACAACUCCAAGAGACACUGUGGUGGCAAUUACAUACAGAAAUUCAAAGUUUUCAGCUAAAAAUUUGAGAGAAAAAUAAAAAAAAAUGAGAAGUUGAAUUUUUAUGUACUCCCCUCCCCUUGCAUU